GACUCUCGGCAACGGAUAUCUCGGCUCUCGCAUCGAUGAAGAACGUAGCGAAAUGCGAUACUUGGUGUGAAUUGCAGAAUCCCGUGAACCAUCGAGUCUUUGAACGCAAGUUGCGCCCGAAGCCGUCAGGCCGAGGGCACGUCUGCCUGGGCGUCA
rnacentral:rRNA from 3 species